rfam:Salmo salar isolate Sally breed double haploid chromosome ssa13, whole genome shotgun sequence.
UGAAUGCACUAACUGUAAGUCGCUCUGGAUAAGAGUGUCUGCUAAAUGACUUAAA